GCUGUGGGGCUGGGUCUUUGGAAAGUGAGCUGAACACCUGUGUUUGCCUCUGGCCGUCCUGACCACAGAAUCAAUGUGUUCAACCGUCUCAAACUCGACCACCAUAGCUUCCUGAAUCAAAAGACUACGAAAAUAAACUCUGAGGGCUGGAGAGAUGACUCCACGGGCAAAGAGCUUGCCGCAUAAGCGUGAGGACAGGAGUUUGGAUCCCCGUAUAAUGCUAGAGCUCUGCUUCUGACUGACAAAAAGGCAGUUCCAGCAAGAAACACAGGAUGGAAACAUGGGCUGGGAACUCAAGCAAGAGUAAAGAGUGUGCACACAGAGCCAGGCAGAGUGGGACACGCCUACCAUCCGGGCACUCGGGAGGCUGAGGCAGGAAGAUUGUGAGUGUAAGACCAGCCUGGUCUACACAGUGAGUAAGCUAACCUUUACCAAACGGGGCCUGUGGCGGACAUUCUGUAAUGAAGAUGGGUGGGGUUCACAA
rnacentral:lncRNA from 1 species